GGUCGCGUAGCUCAGUUGGCAGAGUAUUGGGCUAGUAUUCCAAAGGUCGUAGGUGAAGUUCGAUUUCCAUUUUCCACCGUGGUCA